AGCAGCCGCGGUAAUUCCAGCUCCAAUAGCGUAUAUUAAAGUUGUUGCAGUUAAAAAGCUCGUAGUUGAAUUUCGAGACCGGUCUACUGGUCGUGCUUUUGUACGUACUGGUAUUAUUGGUUUCUCCUUUCUGACGAAUCUUAAUGCCAUUAAUUUGGUGUUUUGGGGAAUCAGGACUGUUACUUUGAAAAAAUUAGAGUGUUUAAAGCAGGCUCACGCUUGAAUACAUUAGCAUGGAAUAACGAAAUAGGACGUUUGAUUUUAUUUUGUUGGUUUCUAGGAUCGACGUAAUGAUUAAUAGGGAUAGUUGGGGGCAUUAGUAUUCAAUUGUCAGAGGUGAAAUUCUUGGAUUUAUUGAAGACUAACUACUGCGAAAGCAUUUGCCAAGGAUGUUUUCAUUAAUCAAGAACGAAAGUUAGGGGAUCGAAGACGAUCAGAUACCGUCGUAGUCUUAACCAUAAACUAUGCCGACUAGGGAUCGGAUGAUGUUAAUUUUUUAAUGACUCAUUCGGCGCCUUAC
rnacentral:rRNA from 1 species